UUCAACAUACGAAUUCUGUGU
rnacentral:piRNA from 1 species